CACAAAACACAUGAUGUAGUUCCCUUUCCACAUUAUCUUUCUUUUGAAAGGGUUAGCAUAUCUAGUGUUUAGUUUGAGGGUUAGGGUUUAUUGGUGUAGUUAAAGUGUUUAGUUGUUUAUAUAUUUAGAAAUUGAUGUCUAAACUUAGAUUUAUAUUUUAGAAUCAUGAUUAUAAAUUUUUACAAAUUUUAGAUAAUUUUAAAAAUAUUUAUAAAUAACCAGAAACAUAAUUUCUCUUCUUUUUUUAAUAGCCAUCGAUUGAUAUCUCAGAUCAAAGGCCCAUAAUCCACCAUCCAUCAGCUAUCCUCGUUCUCUCUUCCUAUUGGUUGAUUAUUUUAAGGCAAGGAUCAUAAUCUUGUCCGUUCGUAAAUGUUAAUCUAAUGGUUCAGAAUUGUUUUUUCUUUUAUCUCCUUCCUUCUCUCUCAGAACUUACGCCCACCGCAAACUAGGUUAGAGAGUUAUCUCAAACCACCACAAAUCUCUUUGUGACACCACGAGCCCACCUCGACCCAGCACGAUUCCAUCUCACUGUCUACCCAUCACGAUUCCAUCUCAAACAACCAUGAUUCUCUCUUAAGCGACCUCGAUUUCUCUCUCUGGGUUUCCAUCGAACUCAUCCAUAUCAAAAGGUCUGCGCCCUCCAAAGUCUAAACCCUAGAUUUAUUUCAUCUGUAUGAUUAUUAUAUAUUUCUCUAAUUAAAAAGGUAACAACUCUUACAGAUCCUUAUAGAUUUGAACCCUCACAGAUCUGGGUUGGGAACUUCUUCAAAGUCUAGAAACUCUAAUGGAAGGAAGGAAGAGCAUCGUAUGUGCACUGCCGGCAUCUGGAGUGAGACCACAACUACUCCAAAAACAAAAACCACAACAAGAAGCACUCAACAGAGAACAAGAACGAGGACAGUCCUCGGGAGGAAAUGAUGUGGAGGAGAUAACCAGAACAGAGUUCAGAACCUCUCUUGGCUACUUGACACGCAUUGAGGAACCUGAAGAAGACAUCGACCCAAUGUUCAGAAACUCAUCUCUUUUCAGACGCCCACCACAAGCACAAGGACAGUCCUCGCGAACCAAGUCUGGCCGUCAUUACUAAUUGUUGUUUAUGUAUGGUGUUUAUGUCUGUUGUUUAUGUAUGUGUUUUUUGCUAUAUGAUGAAUCAAUUGUUAGCACAUUAUAGUGCUUUUGCAUAUUUCUAGUCUAUUUUUUAAUUUUCUUUUUUUACAAUA